rnacentral:rRNA from 1 species
AAUAGAUACCCCGGUAGUCCACGCCGUAAACGUUGGGCACUAGGUGUGGGGUCUAUUCAACGGACUCCGUGCCGUCGCUAACGCAUUAAGUGCCCCGCCUGGGGAGUACGGCCGCAAGGCUAAAACUCAAAGGAAUUGACGGGGGCCCGCACAAGCAGCGGAGCAUGUUGCUUAAUUCGAGGCAACGCGAAGAACCUUACCUGGGUUUGACAUGUAGAGAAAAGCCAUAGAGAUAUGGUGUCCUUCGGGGUUCUACACAGGUGGUGCAUGGUUGUCGUCAGCUCGUGUCGUGAGAUGUUGGGUUAAGUCCCGCAACGAGCGCAACCCUUGUCCUAUGUUGCCAGCACGUCAUGGUGGGGACUCGUAGGAGACUGCCGGGGUCAACUCGGAGGAAGGUGGGGACGACGUCAAAUCAUCAUGCCCCUUAUAUCCAGGGCUGCAAACAUGCUACAAUGGCCGGUACAAAGGGCUGCGAAACCGCGAGGUGGAGCGAAUCCCAUAAAGCCGGUCGUCAGUUCGGAUUGGAGUCUGCAACUCGACUCC